AGUGAGAGCUUUUUCUCUCGAAGUCCGCAAUACACUGCGACAAAGAGCUUUCGAAAGAGAAGGAGUAAGGGUCGAAGAUAUCAUCACCAUUGAAGACGAAUCGCUGUACCCGGACCGAUGGGAAGAGGUCCGGACUGCGAAGACAAGGCUGCGUCAGAAGCAAGUCAGAGCUGGGAGCUAUGGCGGACGCAAUCCUAGCUCCUCUUCUCGAAGUCGUUGCGUUAGUGUGGAAAGGUCAAGCCUGACUUCUUUCAAGCGGAAAGCGAGUGAGGAUCAAGUGGGGCGAGUCGUCGCGAGCUUCCUUCGCGACGUGAGGAACCACCAGGGAUACGAGCUUGAGCAAAGUCGUUUGGCUGCUCGCAGGC
rnacentral:lncRNA from 1 species